CCCUUAGAUGUUCUGGGCGGCCCGCGCACUACAAUGGCGCUUUCAGCGAGUUCCUAUGUUGAAUUUUCCUGGGUAUUCUUGGAAGCGGCGUCUUGAUUUGGGAUAGAUCCUUGUAAUUGUUGGUUUUGAACGAGGAAUUCCUUGUAAUCGCGGUUGAUCAGCUCGCGUUGAAUACGUCCCUGCCCUUUGUACACACCGCCCGUCGCUCCUACCGAUGAAUCGUCCGGUGAAGUUCACAGAGUGGCGGUUCGUGGAGUUGCUCGCGAAGUGAAAUGGACCUCACGAUUUAGAGGAAGGAGAAGUCGUAACA
rnacentral:rRNA from 1 species